rnacentral:rRNA from 1 species
AUACGGAAGGGGCAAGCGUUGUUCGGAAUUACUGGGCGUAAAGGGCGCGUAGGCGGUCUUGCAAGUCCCGUGUGAAAUCCCUCGGCUCAACUGAGGAACUGCACGGGAAACUGCUUGGCUUGAGUUCGGGAGAGGGAAGCGGAAUUCCGGGUGUAGCGGUGAAAUGCGUAGAUAUCCGGAGGAACACCGGUGGCGAAGGCGGCUUCCUGGACCGACACUGACGCUGAGGCGCGAAAGCUAGGGGAGCAAACGGG